AUACGUAGGGUGCGAGCGUUGUCCGGAAUUACUGGGCGUAAAGAGCUCGUAGGUGGUUUGUCGCGUCGUCUGUGAAAUUCCGGGGCUUAACUCCGGGCGUGCAGGCGAUACGGGCAUAACUUGAGUACUGUAGGGGAGACUGGAAUUCCUGGUGUAGCGGUGAAAUGCGCAGAUAUCAGGAGGAACACCGGUGGCGAAGGCGGGUCUCUGGGCAGUAACUGACGCUGAGGAGCGAAAGCAUGGGUAGCGAACAGGAUUAGAGACCCUGGUAGUCCAUGCCGUAAACGGUGGGCGCUAGGUGUAGGGGUCUUCCACGACUUCUGUGCCGUAGCUAACGCAUUAAGCGCCCCGCCUGGGGAGUACGGCCGCAAGGCUAAAACUCAAAUGAAUUGACGGGG
rnacentral:rRNA from 1 species